CACGACACAUGUCCGCCAGAAAAUUACGGGCAAUUUUAGCCUAAAACUCAAAAGACUUGACGGUGCCCCAACCUACCUAGAGGAGCCUGUUCCAUAAUCGAUACCCCACGAUCAACCCUACCACCCCUAGAACCAAAACAGCCUAUAUACCGCCGUCACCAGCCUACCUUUUUAAAGAUACACAGUGAGCACAAUAGUAUUUUACUAACACGUCAGGUCAAGGUGUAGCCAAUGAGGUGGUGUUAAUGGGCUACAUUAUCUGCCACAGAUCACCUACGAACUAUUCUUUGACAUAAUUAUAUUAAGGUGGAUUUAGCAGUAAACUAAGCAAGAAUACCUAGUUUAACACAUGCUCUGGGACA
rnacentral:rRNA from 1 species